UACGAAGGGGGCUAGCGCUGCUCGGAAUCACUGGGCGUAAAGGGCGCGUAGGCGGAUCUUUAAGUCGGGGGUGAAAGCCUGAGGCUCAACCUCAGAAUUGCCUUCGAUACUGGAGAUCUUGAGACCGGAAGAGGUAAGUGGAACUGCGAGUGUAGAGGUGAAAUUCGUAGAUAUUCGCAAGAACACCAGUGGCGAAGGCGGCUUACUGGUCCGGUUCUGACGCUGAGGCGCGAAAGCGUGGGGAGCAAACAGG
rnacentral:rRNA from 1 species